GAACGCUGGCGGCGUGCUUAACACAUGCAAGUCCAACGAUGAACCACUUCGGUGGGGAUUAGUGGCGAACGGGUGAGUAACACGUGGGCAAUCUGCCCUUCACUCUGGGACAAGCCCUGGAAACGGGGUCUAAUACCGGAUAUCACUUCCACUCGCAUGGGUGGGGGUUGAAAGCUCCGGCGGUGAAGGAUGAGCCCGCGGCCUAUCAGCUUGUUGGUGAGGUAAUGGCUCACCAAGGCGACGACGGGUAGCCGGCCUGAGAGGGCGACCGGCCACACUGGGACUGAGACACGGCCCAGACUCCUACGGGAGGCAGCAGUGGGGAAUAUUGCACAAUGGGCGAAAGCCUGAUGCAGCGACGCCGCGUGAGGGAUGACGGCCUUCGGGUUGUAAACCUCUUUCAGCAGGGAAGAAGCGAAAGUGACGGUACCUGCAGAAGAAGCGCCGGCUAACUACGUGCCAGCAGCCGCGGUCA
rnacentral:rRNA from 1 species